rnacentral:lncRNA from 1 species
ACAUUUUCUUCGAUUUCCCGUAUCAAAUCAACACCAAAUAACUUUUUCUCACUCAGCUCAGCCCACAACAAUGGAGUUUGACACUUUCGACCAUACAAAGCCCGUACGGUGCAAUUUUAAUGCUCGCUUGAUAACUGUUGUUGUAUGCAAAUUCAACCAACGGUAGAAAUCUCUCCUAGUUACCUUCGAACUCUAAAACACAAC